GCAGUGGUGGUUCAGCGGUAGAAUUCUUGCCUUCUAUGUGGGAGACCCGGGCUUGAUUCCUGGCCAGUGUA
rnacentral:tRNA from 1 species